UGGUAGCGGCACAAUUUUUUAAAUA
rnacentral:piRNA from 1 species